ensembl:lncRNA LINC02786 long intergenic non-protein coding RNA 2786
AAUUCUGUGAGCAAAAGACAAAAAGACAGACAGAAAAGUCUCCAUUUGAUGGUGGAGAAGGGUCCAGCCCUGUGCAUGUUUGGGACUGAGCUGAGAGCGUGCUCGCAGGAGAGGCGCCCUGAAUUCCAUGCCGGGUCAUUACAGAGCCAGUGGCGGAGACUCUAUGAGACCCAGCCCCACUGGCUGCAGCCCCUUCGGAUGCAUCUGCGAGAGCAGCCUGGCCGUCACCCGCCGGCCUGGCCCGUGCUGUCAGCCGGCCAGAGCGUGUCUGAAUCGAGGAAAGCUGACUGGGGCUCGAUUCACACUGACUCGAGCCGCAAGAUCUGAGCAUCAUUACGAGCUGCCAUGGAGGCCCUUCACUACCUUAAACUUCACAACAAGCCUAUGAGGCUCCUCCAGGUAGCCGAGCCUCAGCCACCAGGGCCACAGACUUCUCUGCUGCCUUGAGGGACCUACGGGACUAGCAGGAGCUGCUCUUCCUCGUACGACUUCUACCCACCCAGGGAUAUCACUUGACCUCUCUGAGCCUGCUUCCUCCUGGAGACAACAGUGUAUACUCAGGGCUAUUGCGGGGAAUGACAAGGAAAAUGGAUGAAAAUGUGCUGGAGAAAUUCUGAGGCAUCAGUCAGAUGAAAGGUUGUUUACCAUCACCUUGGAAGCUGUGCUUGCUCUGUCCCCAGGUUCACUUUCUGCCCUGUUCUGGGCCCUCCAGGGGCCUUCCCUAUGAAGUGUGUCUCCCAGGCUCUCCCACCCUCUGGCUUCCAGUCCAGGCCAGCUAAUAUGUGGCACCAGCAAGGAAUCAAGGGCAGGAAAAGAGAGAGGUUGGGAAUGUGCCUCCCAUCUCCUCUCUGACUCACUGCAUUCAGGCACUGGCUGAGCUAUUCUAUGGCCACAGCUCUGUCCAGCGGCCCCUCCUCUGUCCUUCCUUCCCUUGCCCCUUCAGGCCUAAGAGCGGCCACAGCUUCCUUCUCCCUGUUGCUAAAGUCCAGAUGCUUCAGCAUCUUGUAUUCUUUCUCUUAGCCCUACCUCUCCCUCUCAAAUCAGAGCCUGUUUGGCGAAGACUUUUCAGGUGUGCCGACUGCCCCAAGCUGACCCAGUGCGGAUCCUAACUGGCCCCACCAGCAUCUUCCAUGCUCACCCAGCUGGCCCAUGUCUUGAAGAUGCCCUGGGCUCCCAGCUCUGCCACCCCAGCUUUCUGAGUCUCCAUGGAUCGGGAUCACUGGGGACCCAGCAGGAAGAAGUUGGAGAAGAUAGGAAGGCAGGACGGGACUGGAAUGAUUCUAGGAUGACCACCCCACUGGCCCCUGCAGCAGAAGGAGCCUCAGCCUGGGCCCUGUCUCUGCCAACGCCCCCUCCUGGCAGAAUGGGCAGCCUAUCUGGGUAAAGACCUGCCCAGACCCCACAGCCAAGGGCAGCCCCUCAGAGAUUCAGGCCAGGAGCGGCCUUUGUUCCCCACACCUGGAGCUCAGAGCUUGCUUAGCCUGCGGUGGAAGCUCUGGUUUAAUUAAGGAUCUUAGGAGAGAAUUCUCUCUUGUUAUUUUCUGAAUAAAUUAAGGAAGUAA